AUCUCGCUCGACCCGACACAACAUUCUGCUGCAAUGUUGUGCGACCUGCAGUGUCGGUCGAGCGAGAC
rfam:Aureobasidium namibiae CBS 147.97 unplaced genomic scaffold scaffold_16, whole genome shotgun sequence.